GAUGAACGCUAGCGGCAGGCUUAACACAUGCAAGUCGAGGGGCAGCAUAAUGGAUAGCAAUAUCUAUGGUGGCGACCGGCGCACGGGUGCGUAACGCGUAUGCAACCUACCUUUAACAGGGGGAUAACACUGAGAAAUUGGUACUAAUACCCCAUAAUAUCAUAGAAGGCAUCUUUUAUGGUUGAAAAUUCCGAUGGUUAGAGAUGGGCAUGCGUUGUAUUAGCUAGUUGGUGGGGUAACGGCUCACCAAGGCGACGAUACAUAGGGGGACUGAGAGGUUAACCCCCCACACUGGUACUGAGACACGGACCAGACUCCUACGGGAGGCAGCAGUGAGGAAUAUUGGUCAAUGGACGCAAGUCUGAACCAGCCAUGCCGCGUGCAGGAUGACGGCUCUAUGAGUUGUAAACUGCUUUUGUACGAGGGUAAACGCAGAUACGUGUAUCUGUCUGAAAGUAUCGUACGA
rnacentral:rRNA from 1 species